UUGUAAUAUUAAUUUAAACGGUUAGAUAAUUGUUUCCAAAUUCCAAUAGUGCAAGGCCGCCGAUAUUACCUAUUACGGUUAAUGCUUCCACGUUUAACGUGUAUUCAACCGAAAUCAGUCCUUAUUUUGCAGUUCCUUGCGGUGUUCGCUCCUGACUUAACGCGGUUAGUUCUUCUAAUCCCUUUUUCUUAUUGGCUCGUUCUUAAUUAAUUUUUUAUUAAUGAAUCACUGUUUGGACCUAAUCAUCCACAAUACACAGUGAUUUGGGUAUUAGUGCUGUGUUCUAGUUUCAUGAUUUGAACUUUUGUCUAGGAAAGUUAAUCGAGAGCGUCAGCUACCCAAGCACGAGGACGAAACCCGUCGCCAUUUUGUGCGCGUACAGCAACUUAUGAUGAAUCUGGAUUCAGCAAGCCAAAAUGGAGCAAUUCUACAUCAGCGGAAUUCACAUUCAGAUGGCAGCACAUGGAUAUAGGAUAACAGCGUUGCCAAUCCUACUGCCAUUCGAUCUGCAAAUGUUCGUGCCUUCGGGAAUGAUGAUGGUCGGAAGCCAUUGCGAAAGCCGUCAUAUCGUCAUCGGCAACUAGAUCCUUUGGAGGGAGUUGUGAUGGAAUACAUGAUCUGAUGGCGGUCUCAAGCAGUACCUACCUCUAAAACGACGACACUUUUCCGAUGCGAAGACCGAAGGAACUAGUCACCUCUGCAGUUGUCAACAAAGACCAACAUUCUUAGGGAUGUGUAGGUACUAUUCACCACUUCGAAUUCGGCGCUGUCAUCAUCAUCAUUCCGGUCCAUCUGUCAUCCAGAUUUACUCUGACUAUGGUGUUUCACUAGUAACUUCAAUUUCCAUUUGUGCAUGCAUAUGUUUAAAAUUGAUAACAAAAUAUACGUAGGUAGGUAUUAAGUUAUUUAUUUUUUAAGUUAUCACUGUUACAAGAAGAUCUUUGUAAUACAAAAAAGAAACUGUUCAUCUCUAGAAUAAUAUUGUACUGCACUUUGCUGGCAGCAGGAUAUUUUUUUAAUUAAC